rnacentral:rRNA from 1 species
UGGGGAAUAUUGCACAAUGGGGGAAACCCUGAUGCAGCAACGCCGCGUGCGGGAUGACGGCCUUCGGGUUGUAAACCGCUUUCAGCCAUGACGAAGCUUUUGUGACGGUAGUGGCAGAAGAAGCACCGGCUAACUACGUGCCAGCAGCCGCGGUGAUACGUAGGGUGCGAGCGUGGUCCGGAAUUAUUGGGCGUAAAGAGCUUGUAGGCGGUUUGUCGCGUCGAAAGUGUAAACUCAGUGCUUAACGCUGAGCCUGCUUUCGAUAGGGGCUGACUAGAGGAAGGUAGGGGAGAAUGGAAUUCCCGGUGGAGCGGUGGAAUGCGCAGAUAUCGGGAGGAACACCAGUGGCGAAGGCGGUUCUCUGGACCUUUCCUGACGCUGAGAAGCGAAAGCGUGGGUAGCAAACAGGC